GAGUUUGAUCAUGGCUCAGAUUGAACGCUAGCGGCAUGCUUUACACAUGCAAGUCGAACGGCAGCGCGGGGCAACCUGGCGGCGAGUGGCGAACGGGUGAGUAAUACAUCGGAACGUGCCCUGUGAUGGGGGAUAACUACGCGAAAGCGUAGCUAAUACCGCAUACGACCCAAGGGUGAAAGUGGGGGAUCGCAAGACCUCACGUCAUAGGAGCGGCCGAUGGCGGAUUAGCUAGUUGGUGAGGUAAAGGCUUACCAAGGCGACGAUCCGUAGCUGGUCUGAGAGGACGACCAGCCACACUGGGACUGAGACACGGCCCAGACUCCUACGGGAGGCAGCAGUGGGGAAUCUUGGACAAUGGGCGCAAGCCUGAUCCAGCAAUGCCGCGUGUGGGAUGAAGGCCUUCGGGUUGUAAACCACUUUUGGCGGGGGCGAAAUAUCGAGUGCUAAUACCAUUCGGUGAUGACGGUACCCGCAGAAUAAGCACCGGCUAACUACGUGCCAGCAGCCGCGGUAAUACGUAGGGUGCGAGCGUUAAUCGGAAUUACUGGGCGUAAAGCGUGCGCAGGCGGUUUGGUAAGACAGAUGUGAAAUUCCCGGGCUCAACCUGGGAACUGCAUUUGUGACUGCCUAACUAGAGUGCGGCAGAGGGGAGUGGAAUUCCGCGUGUAGCAGUGAAAUGCGUAGAUAUGCGGAGGAACACCGAUGGCGAAGGCAACUCCCUGGGCCUGCACUGACGCUCAUGCACGAAAGCGUGGGGAGCA
rnacentral:rRNA from 1 species